AACGAACGCUGGCGGCAGGCCUAACACAUGCAAGCCGAACGCUGUAGCAAUACAGAGUGGCAGACGGGUGAAUAACGCGUGGGAAUAUUCCUAGUGGUACGGAAUAGCUCAGGGAAACUUGGGGUAAUACCGUAUAAGCCCUUACGGGGAAAGAUUUAUCGCCAUUAGAUUGUCCCGCGUUGGAUUAGCUAGUUGGUGAGGUAACGGCUCACCAAGGCGACGAUCCAUAGCUGGUUUGAGAGAAUGACCAGCCACACUGGGACAGAGACACGGCACAGAACCCUACGGUAGGAAGCAGUGGGGAGUCUUGGACAAUGGGCGCAAGCGUGAUCCAGCCAUGCCGCGUGAGUGACGAAGGCCUUCGGGUUGUAAAGCUCUUUGGACGGGGACGAUAAUGACGGUACCCGUAGAAUACGUCCCGGCUAACUUCGUGCCAGCCGCCGCAGUAA
rnacentral:rRNA from 1 species